GGGCCUGUAGCUCAAUUUGGUUAGAGCGAGCCGCUCAUAACGGCUUAGUUGCGGGUUCGAGUCCUGCCGGGCCCA
rnacentral:tRNA from 1 species